UACGUAGGGUGCAAGCGUUGUCCGGAAUUAUUGGGCGUAAAGAGCGCGUAGGCGGUCCGGUAAGUCCGCUCUGAAAGUCCGGGGCUCAACCCCGGGAGGCGGGCGGAUACUGUCGGGCUAGAGUCCGGAAGAGGCGAGUGGAAUUCCUGGUGUAGCGGUGAAAUGCGCAGAUAUCAGGAGGAACACCGGUGGCGAAGGCGGGUCUCUGGGCCGAUACUGACGCUGAGGAGCGAAAGCGUGGGGAGCGAAC
rnacentral:rRNA from 1 species